CACACCCACAGGGAAAGCACCAUGAGAAGAUGACGGCAGAGAUCUGGGCGACGCGUCUACAAGCCAAGCGACACCAAAGGUGGCCAGCAGCCCAUGUGAAGCUGGAGGAGAGGCCUCGAAUAAAUGCUCCCUUACAGCGUUCAGGGGGAACUGACCCUGUCCACACCUUGACCUUGAACUUCUGGGCUCCAGAACUGUGAGACAGCAUGUUCUGUUGUUGAAGGAGCAGCGUGGCUAGAGGAAUUCCUGCAGCUUAGAUUUCGCUGGCACUGUUACCACUCCCAGAGAGGAGCGGCUGGAGUUCACGGCUGGUUCCUGACAAACUUCCUAAUUAAUCUGCUAAAGAUCAGAGGAGGACUAAUAGGAGCUGAAGACUGUGUGCGAGACCACCCCUCCGCCCUCUCCCUUUGUGUGUGCACGUGUGUGUGUGUGUGUGUGUGAGCGCGUGCGCGCAUGUGGUGCUGAGCUUGGCGGGAGAGAGAUGGCCUCACCAGCGACAAAGCAUUCCUGCUGCUGUUGCUGCCACCUACCUUCCCUGCUUUGGGAGGAUACAUUUUCUCCUCUUGCUUAGAAGUUUCAGGGAGUCACCCAAGCCUUCUUCUCCCAGAUACAACGGUGGAAUAAAAUAUCUUCCAGCCAACAUAUUUUUUGGAGACGGAAUCUCACUCUGUCACCUGGUUGAAGUGCAGCAGCGCGAUCAUGGCUCACUGCAACCUCUGCCUCCCGGUUUCAAGUGAUUCUCCUGCCUCCGCCUCCCGAGUAGCUGGGAUUACAGGCAUGUGCCACCCACCACGCCUGGGUAAUUUUUGUAUUUUUACUAGAGACAGGGUUUCACUAUGUGGGCUGGGCUGGUCUCAAACUCCUGACCUCUGGUGAUCUGCCCACUUCGGCCUCUCAAAGUGCUGGGAUUACAGGCAUGAGCCCCCGCACCCGGUUGCAACCAACUUUUUUGUGGAAUAUAGGAUCUUGAUGUUUGGAUGCCUGAAGGCAGAAGCUGUUGCACAUGGAAUGGAUUAAAGUUUUCCCCUCUGCAACCAAAAAUCCUUGGGGUCCCAGGAGCAAAAGAUGCUCCAUGGCACAGGACAAUUCAAGAAGGCCCGAGGUGAUAUUGAAGACUGCAGAGACAUCCAGCUCAGUUGUGUCUCCGGAGGUGUCCAGACUUUGCAGACAGACGUUGCACAUAAAGAGCUGAAAAACUGAGGAAGCUGAGCUGGAGAAGGAAGUCACUUCUACUCAGACUUGACCUGCGUCUGAUGCUAUGGGGCCUCUUAGGGUUACCUCAUGCUUCAUGCACCCCUUUCUCUGUUCUUCAGCAGAAGGCAGGGUGUAGGGAAGCGGGACUGUGCCUCCUUUCUCCCUGCCAGGCCUGACUCUCCAGGCCAAGAGACACCAUUAAGGAGUAUAAUUUGUUGAUCCAGGCUCUCCUUGCGUUUCAGUGCAGAGUGGCAUCGUUUUCUUUAUGACCUCGUAAAGUCACAGCCGAGAGGCCGAUUUGGAAAACAAACUGCCUCAGGUUGACAGAUAAUUAGAUACAGGGGACAUAUUAUAUGCCUUUGCAUAUAAAUGUGCUCCGAGGCGUGUUGGUUCAUCUGAAGUUGAGGUUAAAGGCGCGCCAGGUAUUCCUGACACAUCAGGAUAUAUAUUUUCAUACAGUCUCAGGUGCUGUGUUGGUUUUAUAGGCCUUUCAUCCUGGUGCUGACGGAUGGGGUGUGAUUGUGACCCAACUUAGAAGAAAGGGACUUCCCUUGCCCAGGGGCCUCCUGGCGUUUUUGUUUUGUGUUCUCCCUCUCCACCCCCACUUUCUCUUCUUCCUUGGGAAGGGAACUGUUCUUUGGACCUAGGAUUCUGCCGUGAGUGACUAAUGGCCUGAGUAGGAGGGACCGGGACUCAUUUUUCUUUUCUGGACUCUAAUAGGCCCAAUUAAUUCAGCUACAACAUGGGCCCUUACAAGCCUGGGACAAGCCUGGGUGGAAUUCUAUAUUGAGGGUAAGAAAAGGGAUGGAAGUAGAUGUUUUCCAGAAGGUUCUGUGGACUCUGGGGGUGACCUGUGGACAGCUGCUGCUGCCCACUACCUGGCAGUUUGGCUAUGUGAUACAUGUCAGCCUUACAAGGAGAUCCCCCUUACCCUGGAAUCUACUUUGGGGGAGCAGAACUUGAGCCUCAGGCAAAUCAGAGACGAGGGGGAAACUUUGCUUUUUCCUCCAGUGGCAGGGAGCUCUGGGCUGGGGAAAUGUCUUUUUGAACACAAAGUUCCAGUUGCAUUCAUCCACAGGAAAAUGUAAAGAGCUUAAUUUAAUGCCCUCUGGGAGUCAUUUCGAUUUAAAAGUGGUAUUAUAGCUUGUGGCUAGAAGAAUGGGCUUAACGGUUAGUCACCUUCUGUUUGGGCAUGUCAUUUAAUCUCUUUGAGGCUGUUUCUUCAUCUUAAAAUAUGAGUGAGAAGGUAGUACCCACCUUACAAUGUGGACAAGAUUAAUUUAGGGAAAACACGUAGCACAGGGCUUCACCCAUGGUAAGUAUUUCAUAAACGGUAACUAUUUUUAACAAUGACAAUUCACAGAGUUAAUCCUAAUAAAAAAUGAUUACAGAAGAGGACGCCUCCACCCACAGGAAGGAGCCAGCACGGUGGGGAGCUGUUUCACCAGGGGAGUGUUCUCAGCAGCUGCCACACGUGGAGUUGUGGAGCAGGAUCUUGGCAGUGGACUGCCACGGGAGCUCUGGGGAAAAAGGACCAGUUGGACUCCAGUACCUCCUGAGAGACCACCACCCUCCAUGCCUCCAGCUCAUGCCCAGCUCUGAGUCAGACGGACUCUUCCUGUUGUACUGCGAGGUUCUGCAAACCUUGAAGGGCAAACACAGUGAGGGUCUCUGACUUGCUGUGUGGACAGCCCACUCUCUGACAGCCCAGAUCAUCUGAAGCUAUCCCUGGGCUGGGAGCUGGAAGCCAUUCUUGUGAACCACUCCUUAUACCUUGAGCGAAGCCUCUUUGGGUCCCAGAAGUCUGAAGCUCCAGCUGCCUGGCAAGACUGAGUCUAGAUGAUUUCUUGGGUACCAGUAGUUUGGCAUUUAAAAAUACUGGAUUAACUGCAGUGUAAACUUAGAUUGCAUUUCAGAUUGUAAACAAUAACCCCCGUGCUUCAUGUGAUGUUAAAUCAGAAAUGAGCUAUUAGCCAAGCUAGUCCUCUUAUGAAUGAGCCCCUAACCCUGAUCCAGGGAUCGUUGAAUGAAAAUCAUCAAAAUGAUUUAUCUUCACUUUACCUAUUGUCUCACAAGAAUCUCAUCACUCAGGGAAAAGGAGGGUGUUCUUCAGGGAACGGAGGGCAUGAGGAAGGGGGAUUUCCUUAUAUCUCAACUUUCAGAGGGAGCUGAGUUGUAAACAGAUGGAACAAGGUGUGUACGAGAAGCCUCUUAGAUUUAGUCUUUCAUAUCAAGGCUCUUGCUGAAAAUCCUGGCACAGCUGUGAAAUGAGGGGAGCUCUGACACACAGAGACACGCUCCUUGCCUCACCAACCUUCCCAUACACAGUCAUGCGCACAGAGAGCAGGUACCAAUACUGAAAAUGCCCUUCCGGAGUUUCCUCAGCUUAAACCCUUGACAGCAUUAAGUGAGGAAGGAGUUUCCUUGACCUGGGGAAGAAGAACCAACUCAUAAACAUGGAACUGUG
rnacentral:lncRNA from 1 species